GAAAUGCGAUAAGUAAUGUGAAUUGCAGAAUUCCGUGAAUCAUCAAAUCUUUGAACGCACAUUGCGCCCUCUGGUAUUCCGGGGGGCAUGCCUGUCCGAGCGUCAUUGCGAACCCCUCAAGCACGGCUUGUGUGAUGGGCCCUCCCGCGUCUUGGUCGUCAAGACGGGCCCGAAAUGCAGUGGCGGCUUCGCGGUUAUCCGAUCAGCCAGAGCGUAUGGGGACUUUCUCUCUGUCACACGCCCGCGGCGCGGACCGACGCCUGUCGACCUUCAUUCAUCGUUUUCUCGGUUGACCUCGGAUCAGGUAGGGAUACCCGCUGAACUUAAGC
rnacentral:misc_RNA from 1 species